CAAGUAAGUAUUUUCAAGCUUGAUGGUAAGGUUUUGCAUAUUUUUUAGGCGUUCUUGCAUGCAAACUCCAUGUUUUCUUAGUCUUAUUGUCUAUUCAUAUUUAUUACCUGAUACCUCCAUUUCUGGGGUGCAUGAAAAAUGCCAUAUCAAUUAAUCUUUUAAACCAUGUUAUAUGUUUUAAACAAAAUGUAAGACACUUUUGGUAAACUAUGCUACCAAAUGAUAAUCUCGCCUUCCUAGAUUUCUUUUCUCCCUUUGGUCUUAUUUUUCCUUGUUCCAUUGCCACAUCCUAUACUUGCUCAAUCCUAUUUUUGCACAUCUAACUAUCAACUAUGGAUGUCUUUUUUGUUGGUGGUCAUGAUUUCUACUAACAAUGGUAAUUUUUUAAAUGUCUUCUGCUAACUACUUCAUACGUACUUACAUACAUAUCUGUAGAGAGAGAUUGAAAUCUGGUCGAUCAAAUUUGAAGUCGAAUUUGGUUAGGUAAAAUUGGAAGAUUGGGAUCCAACACCAAUGAUUCGAGUCGUUAAAUAUGAUCUACUACCUCUAACUACCUACAGAGAAAGAAUCAUGUGAAUUCAAUAUCCUUAGCCAUCAAAAAUGGGUGUUAAAUCAUAACUAUCUAUUUUUGACCGCUUGAUGCAUAAUCUAGAGAUCUUCAAAUCAUAUGAUUUUUUGUUUGUAAGCAGUUUAGUGGCGGUAUGAUAUAUUCAAUAGCUCGAAUCAUCGUUCGCCAAACUAACCCGAACCGAGCAAUUCGUCCCAUACCAAACAAAACUAACAUCAAAUCGAGACAGUUCGAUGGGUUGGUUCGGUUUAGAAACCCCCUCACCCUGCGUUCGAUUGAACCUUCAAGAGGGUGCUUACUCUCGCUUCUUGCUCGCUUGCUUGUUGCUCGUGCUCUCGUUUCUCUUCGACAUUGACCAAUGCCGACUGACAUGGAGGUAAGCCCCAUCUCUCUCUUCCACUCUCCUCCUCUCUCUCCCUCUCUCUCUUCUUCCUCUCCUUCUCCCUCUUUCCCCUCUAUAUGCCCCCUACCCCCGCCUCGUGCCCUUGCUCUCUCCCCCUACCUCCAUCCCUCCCUCUGUCUUUUCCUCUCCAUGAGCCUCCCUCCUUCUCUCACCUGCUCCCUCUCCCUCCCUCCCUCGCUCUCUUUUCCUCCCUCUCCUGCCUUGUCGCCCUCUCCAUGAGCCUCCCUCCCUCUCCCCGUCUCCCGCCUCUUAGUUCGGUAUGCCCUUGCUUGAUAUAAUACUUAUUGGCAUCGUACUGAAUCGGCCGCUACUUGAUGCGAGCUCCGCUAGCGGUUUGGCAGACCUUGCCUCAAAUCAUCAAUGUCAGACCCCAUCUUCCAAUUACAUCUAUUGGUGAGUGAUUAUUUACAUGAUACCUUUAUAUGUAAGUCUACUGUUGUAAAUAUUGAUCAGGUCAUAUGCAAAAAAUCCCAUUAUUCUACUUUAGCAACUCUUGUAGAUGUACAUGGGUUAAAUAGUCAUGUCUAACAACUUGGCUUGUGGAAAGACAAGGUAUUAUGGUGCUUCCUAAAAUGAAAUCUUUCUAAAAAUAUACUUUCUCGGAAUAGUUAAAUUCCUAUGUAAUUUUUUGUUGGGAAAUACCUCUACUUGUCUUAAGUCAGUCAAUGUUUUCGUACUUUACUAACAAUUUUGAUUGUGGAAGGACAAGAUAUUAAGGCGCUUCCUAAAACUCGCAAAAUUUUUUAAAAACACUCCCCUCAAAAGUCAAAAUAAUUAAAUCCUAUACGUAAUCAAGUAAUAACUUAUAAUUUUAUGUUGAGAAAUACUGUUAGUUUUCUUAAGACAAACAAUGCUUUUUGUACUUUGCUACUCUUUUUCAUUUUCGAUACUGAUCAAUUAAGGUAACAAAAGCUCUAUAGGAACUGUUGUUUAAACAGCCGAGGUUAUGGUUGAGGUAUCUAGCUAAAAUAGGACUUGUGAAAUUUGUGGAUCUCCACAGAUAUGCUCAUGCCUUGGACACCUUUGAUACCAAUCACCAACCUACAAUAUCUUUAAUCACAAGUUGCAACCUUCACGCAAUGUUUGUCCCUCUAUAAAGCUAGAAAGAGCAGCAAAAGAUGGCUCACAGUGUAAAACUAUGAAGUAAGCUGCCCCAACCCUUUUGAUGAUCAUUUUUAAUCUGUAGCCUGCAAUUAGUCCGAUUACAAAAUGGUCUUAUCAUGCAAGUGAAUUCCAAAAGGAUGUGACUUAAACUGAAACUAGACCAGUCCAAUCACCAAGAUGCCUAGCCUUUGAGUUAUUCACCAACAGGUUAUACUCCUCUAAUUCAAGGCAAUGAAGUGUACCUGCCCACUCCACCUGUCAUUUCACAUGAAUGGGUUGUACUCACCAAACUCAAAGUGGUGGAGUGUGAUUACUCACUUCAGAUGCCACACAAGAAGCAAGACAAGAUUGGGUGUGGUUUGGUGGAUUUUCAUGAGUAAUAUCCAACAGCUUAGGGUAGUAGGCAUAGCAAAUACCAAGUGGUGUCAAAAAGAAAAAAUCAUUUUGGGAACUGGUACAAGAUCAGCCCAUUAGCAAUAAGAAUUUCACAUUUCAAGCAACAUGUUGGGUUACAAAUUGGGUUCAGCUCUUGUUUGAGACAAUAGGCAUCAAAUCCCAAAUCAAGCUGACAUGGUUCUCAUCCAUGAAUUUCAUGGUCAUAAGCAUCGAAUUGGAUUAUAAGUCUCAAUAAUGAGGUCAAGCUCAAAUGGCUGCUUAAGCUUCAAGUAGGCCAAGGUUCCUGCCAUCGCCCAACAAGAGAUCCAAUGUCUCCAUUUCAAGGUCAGAAUAUUUUCAGAUUUCCAGCUUGUUCAUGUGCAGGGGUAGGCUUAUGAAACAAAGUGAUCCAAAUAAAAUAUGGUAUUCUUCUCUUAAAAUUUAAUACAAUUUUGACAGUGGUUAGCAGGAUUUCCCCUUGGGGUAAUCAAAAUUAGGUGCUAGGUUUUCCUUAAGAGAACUGAAGAUAAUAAAAACUGUGCUCUCAAGAUAUUCACAGGACAGAACAAAACUUUUCUCGAAAGAGUAACAAGAUGAAGAAGAAGGCAACAGAGUUUUAUGGUGAAGCCAGCCAUGGAGGUUAUCUUACUCUUGGUUUCAUCUUUUAGGAUUUAGAAAUUUCAGGUUAAAGAAAAAGGUUUCAGGGUUGGUGCUGGUUUUUGUUUUUGUUUUUCUUCUUCUCUCCAUUCUGCAUAGAAGGCAGGCAAAUGGGUCCUUCUAUAUGGCCCUAAAGUAGUUUUCCAUACCAUCAAGCUUUGGUUACAAAUGGCGUAGAAGCCAGACUGGUUUCUUGAACACUUGUCACAAGGUUGAGCUUCAUUCAGCCAGGCCCACAAGAUCAAAGACAGGCCUCAAUUCUACCAGAACCAUCCCCAACAGGGUCUGAACCAAACUGACCCAAAGCAUGCUCAAACCAAACCUGAAGAGGACCUAACUUGCACCAGAACUGAACCCAAAUUGCAGUCGGUUCCACAACAAGGAAUAGCCUAAGUAGGUCCACACGGGAUCAAGAAGAACAGACCUAAAAUUUCCAGCAAAAUCCCCAUGGGGACAAGAACCCUAGGACCUCUUAAAAAACAAGCCUAUACCAGUGGGGCACACAAUUUUCUAUGAAUAACCAUGCAACAUACAACUGAAGAACACUUUAUUUUCAAACAUCACUGACUAAAAUAUUUUAGAAACCAGCAUGUCUACCUUAUCCCAACGGUGCAUGUUAGUUGAAGAGGAAGUGUUUGAAUGUAAUGGUGAUUUACUUGAAAAGAGAGUGGUUGGUGGUGCUUGUUAGCCCAAUACACACCUAGUUUACAAACUGUACAGCAUAUUCAAUUACAAUACGCCAUCUGCCUUUGUAUCUCAUGUGCAAGAUAUCAAGUGGUUUUAUACACAAUAUCAAACAACCUUAUAUGCAAGCAUAUUUUAACACUCCCUCAAACACAUGGUGCAGUAUGGGUCAUAAGUUUGUUCAUCAGAUAUUUAAAGUCAUGAUGCUAGGGUUGUCUUGAAGUGCACUAGUUACUUAAUGGAUAGCAUAUUGGGGAGUGACCUGCUGUGAAGUUAGAAGUAACUAUAUGGUGAUUGAUAUUGAUGUGUUCUGUGUAGUUUUUUUUUCCCCCAAAGUACUCUAGACCACCAUAACAACUUGAUUUUUAUGUAUGAUAGAGUACAGACACCAAAAGCAAUGCCCUAAGGUUAGACACGAGGUAAUAAAGUCAAGCUAUCUUUAACACAAAACAGGUAUUAAUCAAAACUCGGUCUUGGACUUGGAAAGAGGUGCAAUAUCUUGCCUUUUCAAUUCGAGGAGAUAAGGGUGCCCCCAAGCAAGACACAUGAGCUUGUAAAACAUAAGUAGCAUAGUCAGUGUGAGCAGACGAAAUGUAAAAAGGG
rnacentral:lncRNA from 1 species